ACCCGAAAUUAUGGAUAAAUCCAGGUGCAUCUCAUAUGUGCGCCAAAGCAAGAUCCACACAUACAAUGACUCAGUGUAUAGAGGCGAAUGUCAAAAUCUUUAAUAUAUAACAAGAAUGUCUUACAAAAUAACCGAUAAUAAAAUAACUCGAACUAAGAUAACUAUCUCUGUGACGCCAUAGUUGACUAGGAGGCGACAUCUAGAUCUCAUCGAACUCGUCGUAAUAGUCCUCCUCCGGUGGUACCUGCUCUUCACCUGAUGUGAUUAUAGCAAGAGUGAGUUCACAUAAGUUCAUCACUCAGAAAGUGUGGGAAAAGUGUGAUUGAGCUCACUUAUGGUGGGGGCUCAAGUGUAAGGCUUACCAAGGAAAAUGGUUAAGGCUGAGCAUUGCUUUUAGUGUUGGUCAAAAUUUUAUUAGCAGUUAUUAAGUAUAAGUAAAUACCAACCCAAUUAAAUAAUUGAUCAUAAUUAAUAACAAAUCCCACAAUGCAAUGCAUGCCAGGUUAAAUUUAAUUCCAUAAUUUAAUCAUGUGAGGGUCUGAGCCACUGUUGACCGUGAGUAUGAUUGAUAUAUCAGCUUUACACUCUGCAGAGGUUGCACAUCUUUACCCACAAGUCAUGAUCCCUUAUUUCCCUCAAGUUGCGCAGACCCUUAAACACUACCAAUGUGAGUAGGCAAGGGCUCACUACGAGGCCUUUACAAAGUUCCACUAGCAUGAGGAAACCCGCUACGGAUUCACGCAGAGGGGCGUAGGCCUUGUUGCAUGGUCUAUAACUCCAUCAUAGUAUAUACAACCAGCAAUAUCUUGCUCAACUCCUCCCCGCUUGCUCCUUUCGAGUAAGGCCUCACACACUAGCUUCCCUAAUUAAUUAGCCAAGACCAGAGCCAUAUAGUCCUUGUGGUUGCACUGUUGUCUCGGGUGGUUGCUCCAUGGUCCAAUUAAACCAAGUGACCUUAUCAUGCAUAAGUAACAAGCAUAAUAAAAGAUAAUGGAACAUGAUCAUGAAUCAUAAUUAUCAUUAACCCAAAAACCUGGUAGAGCACUAGCAAUACUACCCAAUAAUUAAUUGGUAUGCAAGGUGUAGGGUAAACAAACUAGGUAACCUAUUAGGCCCCAUCAACUUAACCUAAAUGUGCCAUAGUGAUUAAAAGAAUCAUUAUUAGUUCAAAGAAUGUGAUCAAAGACACAACUUGCCUUCUGCGAGCUCCUGCUCAGAAUCUUCAAUGUGUUGUGCAUCGGGUUCCUCGCUCACCUGCUUGUCUACUCGCAUCAAUACAAACAAACAAUAUAAAUACAAAAUUAACAUCACACUAAACAUGAGAACAAAAUCACAUAAUAAUAUUCUAUGCAUCGCUAUGAGACCACAGGUUCAAGAAUCACUUAAAACAGAAUUAAAAUGAAUUAGUUAUAGAUUUACUAAGGUUUAUUGGAUUAAUUCUACACUUAAAAUCAUUUCUUCUGAUUAUAUAAAUAAGAUCAGGGCUACAUUUAUUAUUAUUAUUAUAAAGACCAGGGGCUACGUUGUAAGAACCAGGGACCUCAUUGUACUACUUUCCACUGCUAAGGGAUGGUGGGUUUAUUUAUAAAGAACACGGGGUCUCUUUUAGAAAUUUCCCACGAUGAAGGGGUAUCCGCCAUUCAUAGUCGUUCGAUCAACCACUAGAGGAUCAGAUUAGAUCCCAGCCCCUUCCAAGAUCUACGUCUGUAGCGCCUUUCCCCCACCUCGGACCACCACUGGCAUCGCAGCCUAGGCAUUCGAUGGAGGUCACGCCGGGGCACUAUAAGCCAGCACGCCGACACACCCAAUCACGAAUCCCAGUGGUGCAACAUGGAGAGAAGGAGAGGCGAAUGGGGUAACAGGUUUCUUAACCCGGAUUGGAGCGAUGAGAGAAUCGCUCAAAUGAGGUAGGCAGACCGUGGUGGCACUACUACUUCGACGACCAAUUAACAGUGACCUGGAACCGCAAUUCCAUGGUGAGAAGAUGACGCACGACAUACAAUGCGGGCUGAAUGCGUUGGGGUUCCCUUACCGGCUAUUGAAGCUUCGACGGUUGGUGGCCAUGGUGGGAGGAGGCCUGGCGCUGUGAUCUGACUCCGUUGCGGAAUUCCUCCGGUCUUAAGGGUUCCCACCUGGUUUUGGUUGUAACCGAAGGUGGAUGGAAACCCUGACCAGUG
rnacentral:lncRNA from 1 species